rnacentral:lncRNA from 1 species
CUUGAGGAAAGACUCAGAUUAUGCAAAUACUUUAAGGUCUUCAGGCUUAAAAUGGUUGUGUCAUAAUAUGUAAUAUGUAAUAAUAUGUAACAUGUAAUACGUCAUAAUAUGAAAGAUGCAGGAGAAGAAUAUGGUCCAACUCAAAGUUCCGGGAAAGAGAGCAGAAGUGGAGGGGUCACACUUCUGAAUGUGAUAGAGAGUUCUGCCUUUGGACAUAACAAAUGCUGUUUGAGCUCAGAUCCUGGAGAGGCUGACUGAAGAAUCACUGGUAACUGUGAAAUCUGAAAGUUCAAGUGGAGUAGCUGUGACAGAUACCUAUGAGAUCUGGAAUCCUGCACUAAAUGAGCCUACACUGAAGCAGUGGGCCAAGAGCCUGGAUGUUUGCAAGGUCAAGGUGCAAACUAGACAUGGGGAAUCGGUGAAGUGAACUCGAUCCUGAAACACAGCUCUGAGACAUCAAGUUCUUCCAUGUUCACCACUAAAGUAGAAGACAUCUCUAAGUUGUCAAGAAGCAAUUUCUUGGGUGUGCCUCCUUGGAAAAGAAGUUGUAAGUACAGGAAUUCACCAAGAUUUGAGUGUUUGUUACAUGAAAAGCAUGGUAGCAUGUGAAGUUAAAAUGAUAAGGUGCUUUCUUGCAGAAGGCAUAUAAUGAAGCAAGGAAGGUUAGGGUUAGGGUUAGUAGAAAAGUUAUUGUAAGAAAUUGUAACAUAUCGACACUUCAGCAGUGACAGAGUAUGAGUCAACUGCGAUCCUAUUACAUAUGAGGCAAUAUGCCAAAUAUUU